UACGGAGGGUGCAAGCGUUAUCCGGAUUUACUGGGUUUAAAGGGUGCGUAGGCGGAUUUGUAAGUCUGAGGUGAAAUCUCCGAGCUUAACUCGGAAACUGCCUUGGAUACUAUAAGUCUUGAAUGUCGUUGAGGUCAGCGGAAUAUGUCAUGUAGCGGUGAAAUGCUUAGAUAUGACGUAGAACACCAAUUGCGAAGGCAGCUUACUAGACAAUUAGUGACGCUGAGGCACGAAAGCGUGGGGAUCAAACAGG
rnacentral:rRNA from 1 species